GACGAACGCUGGCGGCGUGCCUAAUACAUGCAAGUAGAACGCUGAAGCUUGGUGCUUGCACCGAGCGGAUGAGUUGCGAACGGGUGAGUAACGCGUAGGUAACCUGCCUGGUAGCGGGGGAUAACUAUUGGAAACGAUAGCUAAUACCGCAUAAGAGUAGAUGUUGCAUGACAUUUGCUUAAAAGGUGCAAUUGCAUCACUACCAGAUGGACCUGCGUUGUAUUAGCUAGUUGGUGAGGUAACGGCUCACCAAGGCAACGAUACAUAGCCGACCUGAGAGGGUGGUCGGCCACACUGGGACUGAGACACGGCCCAGACUCCUACGGGAGGCAGCAGUAGGGAAUCUUCGGCAAUGGACGGAAGUCUGACCGAGCAACGCCGCGUGAGUGAAGAAGGUUUUCGGAUCGUAAAGCUCUGUUGUAAGAGAAGAACGAGUGUGAGAGUGGAAAGUUCACACUGUGACGGUAUCUUACCAGAAAGGGACGGCUAACUACGUG
rnacentral:rRNA from 1 species